rnacentral:rRNA from 1 species
UUAGCGGCGGACGGGUGAGUAACACGUGGGUAACCUGCCUUUAAGACUGGGAUAACAUUCGGAAACGGAUGCUAAUACCGGAUAGGCGAUUUGGUCGCAUGAUCGAAUCGAGAAAGAUGGAGCAAUCUAUCACUUAGAGAUGGACCCGCGGCGCAUUAGCUAGUUGGUGAGGUAACGGCUCACCAAGGCGACGAUGCGUAGCCGACCUGAGAGGGUGAUCGGCCACACUGGGACUGAGACACGGCCCAGACUCCUACGGGAGGCAGCAGUAGGGAAUCUUCCGCAAUGGACGAAAGUCUGACGGAGCAACGCCGCGUGAGUGAUGAAGGUUUUCGGAUCGUAAAGCUCUGUUGCCAGGGAAGAACGCUUGGGAUAGUAACUGCUCCCAAGGUGACGGUACCUGAGAAGAAAGCCCCGGCUAACUA